UAGUCGGGAUAGCUCAGCUGGUAGAGCAGAGGACUGAAAAUCCUCGUGU
rnacentral:tRNA from 1 species